rnacentral:rRNA from 1 species
AUGCAGGCUGCAGCACAUGCUUCCAUCACCUCCCUGUGUCGCUCGAGUCAUGGGCUCCAUCGUGUGACGCACUGCAAGGAUGUCAACCAUACUGCUGCAGGGUUCAGUGCCGUCAUCUUUGUCCGCAUCUUCCGCUCGGCAGAUGGAGUCUCCAUCGUUAUAUGGCUGCAGAGGAGAUUCUACUUCAUGUGUUGUCUUACAAGCAACGAGGCUAGCUGUCUUGCACACACCACAAAUGAAGGUUUUGGAACUCCAUUCUCCAAUAGUAUCAGUGAAUCAAACACUCCAAUCUCUCUGAAUUCUAACCCACAACAUCUCCGACACCCUCUCGACGAGCUGCAAUUAGAUCAUAGCUGA